rnacentral:rRNA from 1 species
GGACGGGUGAGUAACACGUGAGUAACCUGCCCUUGACUCUGGGAUAAGCCUGGGAAACUGGGUCUAAUACCGGAUAUGAGCUUCCAUCGCAUGGUGGUUGUUGGAAAGAUUUAUCGGUCAUGGAUGGACUCGCGGCCUAUCAGCUUGUUGGUGGGGUAGUGGCUUACCAAGGCUUUGACGGGUAGCCGGCCUGAGAGGGUGACCGGCCACAUUGGGACUGAGAUACGGCCCAGACUCCUACGGGAGGCAGCA